rnacentral:rRNA from 1 species
CCUACGGGUGGCAGCAGUGAGGAAUAGUGGUCAAUGGGCGCGAGCCUGAACCAGCCAAGUCGCGUGAGGGAAGACGGUCCUAUGGAUUGUAAACCUCUUUUGUCGGGGAGAAAAAGACGCCACGCGUGGAGUUCCGAGAGUACCCGAAGAAAAAGCAUGGCUUAACUCCGUGCCAGCAGCGGCGGUAAUACGGAGGAUGCGAGGGUUAUCCGGAUUUAGUGGGUUUAAAGGGUGCGCAGGCGGAAGAGCAAGGCAGCGGUAAAAUUGAGAGGCUCACCCUCUGCGAGCCGUUGAACCUGGUUUUCUUGCGUGCGUGAGAAGUAUGCGGACUGCGUGGUGUAGCGGU